AAUAUUUUGUGUAUUCUUCUAGUUCAUUAAAGUCAUCUAUUAUCAACUAAAAUACGGACUACAGAAAGAUCGCACGGAUGAUACAAGACCACCGUUGUUAGAUGAUUCUUGGCUUUCUACUGAUAGCUUUUUGCACUAUCUUUGCAAGGACUUCUUUUCAUUGGUGCUAGAUGGGUCAGUUGUUGAUGGAGAUCUUUUAAAAUGGACAAGGAAAUUUAAGGAGCUGUUAGAGAACAACCUAGGGUGGGAGUUUCCAAAGAACAGUGCUGUUGAUGGUUUGUAUUUUGAGGAGAAUGAUGAGUUUGCUCCUGUAGUUGAGAUGUUAGAUGAUGAAGCUUAUGCAAUUUAGAAAUGUGGAUCAUAUAAUCUCUUGGCUAUUAAAA